rnacentral:rRNA from 1 species
AUUGAACGCUGGCGGCAGGCCUAACACAUGCAAGUCGAGCGAGCGGCGGACGGGUGAGUAAUGUCUGGGAAACUGCCCGAUGGAGGGGGAUAACUACUGGAAACGGUAGCUAAUACCGCAUACCAUCCGAUGUUCCCAGAUGGGAUUAGCUUGUAGGUGGGGUAACGGCUCACCUAGGCGACGAUCCCUAGCUGGUCUGAGAGGAUGACCAGCGACACUGGAAUUGAGACACGGUCCAGACUCCUACGGUGGGAAGCCGUGGGGAAUAGUGCACAAGUGGCGCAAUCCUGAUGCAGACAUGCGGCGUGUGUGAAGAAGGCUUUCGGGUUGUAAAGUACUUUCAGCGGGGAGGCGUUACCCGCAGAAGAAGCACCGGCUAACUCCGUGCCAGCAGCCGCGGUAAUGC